AUUCUGGUUUUUGAUGGCUUUGGAGAUUGGAAGUUGGAACGCCUGGAAGUGUGGCGGCCCUAACCACUGCAGGCCAGAUCUUUAUCUUGAUUGUGAAGACAAUGCUUCCUGGCCAGCUGGAGGU
rnacentral:lncRNA from 1 species